rnacentral:rRNA from 1 species
CUAGUAAUCGCGCAUCAGCCAUGGCGCGGUGAAUACGUUCCCGGGCCUUGUACACACCGCCCGUCAAGCCAUGGAAGCCGGGGUGCCUGAAGUGUGCAGCCGCAAGGAGCGCCCUAAGGUAGAACCGGUGACUGGGGCUAAGUCGUAACAAGGUAAC